rnacentral:rRNA from 1 species
GAUGAACGCUGGCGGCGUGCCUAAUACAUGCAAGUCGAGCGAACAGACGAGGAGCUUGCUUCUCUGACGUUAGCGGCGGACGGGUGAGUAACACGUGGAUAACCUACCUAUAAGACUGGGAUAACUUCGGGAAACCGGAGCUAAUACCGGAUAAUAUAUUGAACCGCAUGGUUCAAUAGUGAAAGACGGUUUUGCUGUCACUUAUAGAUGGAUCCGCGCCGUAUUAGCUAGUUGGUAAGGUAACGGCUUACCAAGGCAACGAUGCGUAGCCGACCUGAGAGGGUGAUCGGCCACACUGGAACUGAGACACGGUCCAGACUCCUACGGGAGGCAGCAGUAGGGAAUCUUCCGCAAUGGGCGAAAGCCUGACGGAGCAACGCCGCGUGAGUGAUGAAGGUCUUCGGAUCGUAAAACUCUGUUAUUAGGGAAGAACAAAUGUGUAAGUAACUAUGCACGUCUUGACGGUACCUAAUCAGAAAGCCACGGCUAACUACGUG